AUGUGGACCCGAGUGGGAGAGAGAGGCAGCCACUUGGAGCACUGGCAAGCAGAAAACACAGCAAGACGAAGGGGCGGAGAGCUGGGGCGAGAACCGGCUGCCCACGCUGACGCCAAGCACCGCGGAAACUGGCACCCCAGCGCGAGCUUGCUCUCUGUGUUUAGCCAACAGCACUUACACAACUCACCACCACGGGAACCCAGGCUGGAGAUGCAGAAGUGGGAACGCAAAUUUCCAAAACACCGAUCAGGACCCUGGCACCCUGGGCAGAGCCCCUCCUCCACACUCCCUCGCCUCAGUUUACCCGUUCAUACAACGAGGGACUCUGUUCGCCACACCGCGCCGGGCGGCUGUCGCCGCGGGCGAGCCAAGUGCACAAGGCACAGGGCAGUGUUUCCCCUGGCUCGGUAGCCGGGCCCUGCUUCCCCCUCCGAGCGGAGGCGGGGACGCGUCCUGGGGAAAGGGCCGUAAAAACGCUGCUUCUCGGGGAGUCGUUUUGUGCAUUCGCAAACAGCCCCGCUGCCAAGUGAGUCAGAGUUUCCGAGUGCACGCGGCAUCGGUGCAGAGCCCUGCUGUGGUUCCCUCUCUGCUUCUGAAAGGGGGGCUUGGGCGGGGCUUCCUGUGCUCGAUUCCAGGAACGAGAGGGGCUCUCCCCUGGCCCAGUUCUCGCUUGCCCGCCCGCCCUUCGCAGCUAAGGACGCUGAAGCAUCCCUAGCGCCUCACCAGCUUGCAGGUGCCCCGUCCUCCCGCGCUGCCUGCUCAGCCCUUUCUCCUUAGGACUCCGACUGUCGUCACACAAGCACAAGGUCGUGGUUUGGAUGGGAAGUUUGUGAAAAGUCCAUGCAGCCAAAGAUUACUAAUCUACAGCAUCUACUAAUAUCUGCUCGGGGUCUCGCGGUUUGUCAAGUAUUUUCUCCCGUGAUCUUGCUAUUCCCAUCUAACAGGUGAGAUAAGUCAUGUUUGGGAAGGUCACACAGCCUGCCAAGGUUCACGCCAAUAGUAAGCAGCAACGCUGGGCCUGGGAUUUGAGUCUCUCCGCUGUUCUGAGCUUGGGGUCCGUGCUGUGGCAGCUGGGGGGAGGGGCAGGUCAUCUCUGCCCUGCGCUACCCUGUCCCGGACACAGGACCCCUGUACCGUGGCCUCCUGGGAGGUGGUAGUCUGUGCCUCACUCUCCUCCGUAGUUCCAGGCACUAGCACAUAGUAGGUGCUGAAAGCCCGUAUUGCUGUGUGCCAGAAACCAUGGCAAUCACCCUCCACCAGGCCACCGGAGAACAGCCACGUACGCCGGGAGCUCACGAAACCACACGAGUCAAGUUCCUAUCAUUAGAUUCAUCUAACAGAAGAGGAAACCAGGCGUGAGGAACCAGCUGAAAGUCUCUCAUGGGGGCAGUUGGGCGCCAGGGUCCUGCUG
rnacentral:lncRNA from 1 species